rnacentral:lncRNA from 1 species
GUCAGGACACUUGGAGGGGAGAAAACUCAAGGGAGGGACUGAUUUCCCAGAGGACAAUCCAUUUUCCAGUGACCCUACUGUCCACAGUUGGGACAUGGCCUUGUAGGAAGCCCGAGAAAAGGGCAAGCUUUUGUUUAGUGGCCCAGAUUGCUGUAGUGAACCGUCCCUAGCAAGGAGAAGGAAACAAGAGGAUAAGAUCAGUAUUUGAGAAAGAAAGAUGAAGGCAAACAGGCCCCUCAACACCUGCUACCUCAUGGAGGGGCUGAUAAAUUAUCAAGAUCUCAGAGAAUUUGGAUAUUGAAAGUACCCUCAGCUGGCCAGCAUAACCCAUUAUGGUAUGUACUGGGGCCACAUGGAAAUGGAGUAAAAGGGCAUUAAACUCAGGAACUUGCACUUGCAAGGCAGGCGUGGCACCAAUGAGAUGGCGGGUGGUGUUCCUGUCCAGGUUCUAUUACUUAUCUCCAAAUAACAGCCAACAUCCUGAUUUCUGAGAAGACAUAAAUCAGUCCAGAGCAACCGAGGACACAGAUUCUCCCCUGAAGCAUCUAAGAGGAAUGGAGCCUUGC